GCCCCGGCUCCGCCGCAGCCCAGCCUCGCCAGCCGAUCGCUGUAAGGAGCAUGCGCGGGCGCGGGGCAGGCUGGGACUUGUAGUUCGCUCUCAACGGAAACGAACGGCUGCCGGGUCACCGCGCGCGCAUCCCCCAUUUUAUCCGCCCUUGGACGGCGGCUCCCCAGAGUGGGCGCUCGCGGGAGGGUUGCCAAGUGUCCGGCUUGCGACCAGAACGCCCCGUCGAAAAGGGAGCCUGGUGGCUCCAGUCACCGCUGCCCACCGGGCUGCUAAAAAGUCCAGUGGGCGGGGCUAGCAGUUCCUGGAAGCAGCAGCGUGUCCCCCCCGUCCGGCUCCUAUGCGUAGGGGCAGCCUGAGGGCUCCACACUCUGCCCUCCUAUCCCAAGCUCAGCCCCUGCAGCUCCCAUUGGCUGGGAAAUGCAACCAAUGGGAGCAGUGCCUGUGGAUGGGGUAGCAUGGAGAACCACCUGGCCCUGCCUCCGCGUAGGAGCCAAAGAGGGGACAUGCCAUAUUUCCGGGAGCUGAUUCCGCUGACAAUAUUCUGGACAAGUGCACACUGCUGGUGCAUAUUUGUGAAGCAGAACUAAUUAAAAAAAGUCGAACCAUGGACAGCAUUCUCUGGAAUCACCUCAAAGCACAACCCAUGUACUAGAUCGUGUAGAAAAUCUGCAGCUUCUUGCUUCCGUUGUUUCAUUCUUUCCAAACAGCCUUCCACUGAACUUUAGGUUAUCUUUGCUUCACUUUCUUUUAAUUUUAGAUGAGACUUAUUACUCAAAUGUUCAGCAAUACAGUUUGCCUGUCUGUUUACAAACUUUGCAGCACAAAAUGUCCUUGUUUCCAUUUCCAGACUUUUUCACCAUUUUACAUUUGAGGUUAGGGUAUUCUCUGCAAUAUUCCUCUAGGGAUUUCCCAUCACUGAAAUAAAAUUCAACCCAUCAUUGAAAUAAAACAACAAACUUGGCCUCUGUUACUGUAUAAGUGCAGGUGCUCUACCCACCACAAAUGUAACUGGAUUUUUGUUCUUCCUCAAUUUUGACCCCAGCACAUUAUAAUGAAUGCUGCAUAAUUAGCUGCAGUGCUGUUAAUGCUGGAGCUGGCAGUUUUAGCAGAAUUGUAAAUAUGAAGCAUUCAUUACAACACAUUUUAUAUACAUUAAGGUAGGACUCUAAUACAUUCUCAAGUAACAUUUUUCUCACUUUGCCUCUCUGUAAAUGUUGGCAAUAAUUGAUGGAGAUAUUUUUUUCAUUUAUUUGUAUAUGUACAGUGAAAUCAGUGUUUACUAACAUUUACUGAUAAAAAUCAAAUCCUUUCCAGCCUAUCUAGGGAGCUGGGAGGGAAUGGGGAAGAAAUGACACAACAAAAUGAUUGCAUUUAACAAUGGUAAAGAACAUCACAGUGAUUUUCUUCUAACACUGAACAAGAGACCUUAUUAGAAAAAGGAAUACAGUAUUAACCUUAAAAUCUCUCUCUCUUCAUGCUUCACUGUAGAACUUUUCCCAGCCCCACUAUUGCCUGACUUCCUACUAUAAUUUUAAAGAAACAGUAAACAUAUCCACUGUAGCCUGUGCUAACAGUAUAGGGCCAGAAGAAUGAGUGCAGCCUACGGGCUGUCAAUAAAGCCUACGGGCUAUGUGACCUUUAUGGAUCUGCACAUGUGCAGAAGGGACUCCUGGCCUGAGGACCGCGCGUCUCGAAGUCUUGUUAUGAUUAUGAUUCAUGUUAAGGGUACUAGUCUUACUCUAUCCAGUUACUAGUUUACCCAGCAAGAGUUCCUGAUUUGUUAAGCUGUUUACCUAACUGACAUGCUUUGUAUUGAUUGGUCAAUUGUUAAUCAAUAGUUAAUACAUAUACUGCAUAUGGAUGCCAGUUAUCUAAAGUUAUCUGGCCAGGAGUUAUCUGCUAGCCAGGUUGUCCCGCUGAGUCUCUGCCUGACCAACAGAGUUACAGUGUUUAUUAUUUUACUUUCAUAAUAAAAGCUAUUGUUUAAAUAUUUA